UACGUCUCACGUAACUGGCGAAAAGCGGAUGCGGCGCGCUGGGCGCGACAUCGGCGAAAGGUGGACAUCCACCGGGGAACGUGAGAAUUUCAACAGCCGUUCGCCUGGGCAGCCUAU
rnacentral:ncRNA from 2 species